rnacentral:rRNA from 1 species
AGCGGCGGACGGGUGAGUAACGCGUGGGUAACCUGCCUCAUACAGGGGGAUAACAGUUGGAAACGGCUGCUAAUACCGCAUAAGCGCACAGUACCGCAUGGUACCGUGUGAAAAACUCCGGCGGUAUGAGAUGGACCCGCGUCUGAUUAGCUAGUUGGUGGGGUAACGGCCUACCAAGGCGACGAUCAGUAGCCGACCUGAGAGGGUGACCGGCCACAUUGGGACUGAGACACGGCCCAA